AUUGAACGCUGGCGGCAUGCUUUACACAUGCAAGUCGGACGAGUGGCAAACGGGUGAGUAACAUAUCGGAACGUACCGAGUAAUGGGGGAUAACUACUCGAACGAUUAGCUAAUACCGCCUAUUAUUCGAGCGGCCGAUCUCUGAUUAGCUGGUUGGUGGGGUAAAGGCCUACCAAGGCGACGAUCAGUCGCGGGUCUGAGAGGAUGAUCCGCUAGACUGGGACGGAGAUACGGCCAGGACUCCUACGGGAGGCAGCAGUGGGGAAUUUUGGAGAAUAGGCGAAAGCCUGAUCCAGCCAUGCCGCGUGUCUGAAGAAGGCCUUCGGGUUGUAAAGGACGGUUGUCAGGGAAGCGGUACCUGAAGAAUAAGCACCGGCUAACUACGUGCCAGCAGCCGCGGUAAUAC
rnacentral:rRNA from 1 species